UGCAUGUACAGUAUGUAAUGAUUUUUUUGUUUUGUUUUUUUAGGCUGUAUGAGGUCCAAAACCAUCUCAGUGUUUUGGCGUCAGAGCACAGCGUGCUUCAGGAACGCGUGGCAGAGGUGCAGACUAGGAACCGACUUCUGAAACAAAAAUAUGAUUCUCUGCUGGAGCAGCACCGGAACAUGGAGAGCACGUACCGACAAGAGAAACUCCGCAGCUCAGAGAUCCUGGAGAACAUGAUCCUUCCGAAACAGCAGGCUGCUGUCCGCAUGAACCAUCACAAUGAGAAGAGAGUGAGAGCCAGAGAGGCCAGUCUUCACAAAGAGCUUCAGAUGGCUGCCAGUCAGAAUGUGAAUAUUAAUGAAGAGUCUGGAAAUGUGUCGCCUUCUAAACCAUCAUCCCCUAAAUGUGAGUCUUCACAGAGGUUUGAGAGAUCCCAUGGACCACUUUUCAGGUCUGCUUCAGCUACAUCCCCCCGCAUCAUCAGCUCCAUCAGAGGACUUUUUGAGUAAGUUUCUCGAAUCACUGUAUAGAAUAAGUUGUGAUUGUUUGAAAGUUUUUAAGCCAUCACAGCCCGCCA
rnacentral:lncRNA from 1 species